rnacentral:lncRNA from 7 species
ACAUAACACAGUGCUUGUUCCUGGGACAGUAAGGGUUCUCUCUUACUAAUUUAGUGAUAUGCGUGGAAGCAAGCUGCAUUUUUAGUUCAUCAGCUCAAAAAAAAUCGUUAUGUUGAUUAAAGUGCUAUUUCAUUACAGAAGACUUAGAAAUGCUCCAACAUCUGCUGCUAAAGAAGAGCAGUUGGGAUCGAGAAAAUAGCUCCUAAUACAUGCCUUGAUCUGACUUCAGAAGUUUCUUUGUUAUCAUCUGCCUGCAGGAGACAUUCUGUGGAGGUUCUGUGAAUUGCAUCGGGCAGCAUGAGCUGCUGAGCUGGCAUUUGAAUUAAAUGAUGUCCAAUGCAAAGUGAAAAAUGAGACUGCACUGAUCAGCCACAGAACGCACUGCUCCUUCACGAGGACCUCGCCGAUUCAGCUCCGUGAAAAUGUAAUUGGUUACCUUUCACUGACUUCCAAACACGGUGUUACAUGGACAAAGAAUAACUGAAAGAUGUCAUGAUAACUCAUCAUAAAAAAUGAAGCUAUGUACUGUUGGGUCAGAACUUGCUCACAUGCAAUUACAAUAUAUGUGAAGGCAGUACUGCUGCUGCUGAAGAUCGUAAACCUAACUGUAAAUUAACAUCAAAAACUGUAAGACCUUGUCUGAAAUGCAAUUUAAUUCUUCUUUUUUUUUUUUUUUAAUCUUCAAGACAGAGAAGACAAAAUGUCAGGUGUGAGCCACUACUUGGCUAUGCCUUGUAGGAUAUUCUGCAUCACAGUGUAAAUAAGGGGCUCAUAAUUUCUUCUAAAGUAUAUGUAAAUGAUAUUUCUCUUUGAUAUGUUGUUCAAAGUGAAAACUUGAUUCUAAAAUUAGAAAUUCUAAUAGAGGGGGGAAAAACCUUGCAAGGGGGUAGAGAUAGAAGAAAAGAUAGUAGUGUAUAUAUUUUUUUUAGUAUGAUUCGAUGUGAUGAUAAUAAGAGGCUGAUUAUAUUUCUCAUUUUGGAAGAGCUACCGUGCAUUCCUACUGUUACAAUAACAGCAUCACUUCCUUUCAACAAUAUUUUUCAAAGAGCAUUACAAAGAAUGUUAGGAUCAUUAUCCUGACUUCGCUGAAAAGCAAAUCAAGAAAAAGACCAUUGAAUAAAUAAUAGCUGAAUGACACUUGGCAGACAAGUGACUGAGUGGAAACACAAAAUUUCAGGUUCCAGUACCCUAAUCUGUUGACAAGAUCAUGGUGAUGCUUUCAAAUGCCUGAGCUGCCUUCUAACCAGGUGAGUGUUCACAGAGUUUACAAAGGCAUUGACUGUGGUUUUCUGACAAGCCUAGCUUCUAAGUAUCUAAUAAAUAUUACAGCAAGGAGCCAUUUGUAAAUAUUAAAAGGCUCUCCUUUAGCAAAGCCAUCCAGUUGUUAAUGGCUGGCAGGAGUUCAAAAUUCCAGCUUAAAACAGUCUGUCUCUUUUAAUUGACCUUGCAGUCUUAGUCUUUGCAGCUGCGGUAUUCAUAGUAUGAAUGAGAAACAUAGGCAGCAAUGCUUCUGGUCUAGCACUUUCGCUAUGACUUCACAUCACAAGGAAAACUUGUAAAACUUCAGUACUGCCCCAUGUCCGUUACAUCCUUAGCCAUUUGAUAGCACUACAUUUUUUAAAUAAAUACUUUUGAGAGAGGACAGCUCAAUCAUUGAGAGAAGAAAACAUUACAAACUUUACCAGAUAUGGCACUGAACGCAAAAACCUUUGGCUUUCUCAGAGUUACAAUAAACAGCUGGUCACUGAACCUAAAGAUGCAUGUUAGGUAGGUACAGAAGAAGAGAAUGUAUUUUUACCCUUACACAAUCUCUGCUUGCAUCCAUUAGAGACUGUUGGCUGACUGUCCCGUGAGGCAGCUGCUCUAUUACUUAUCUAACCCAAAGUUACACUUGCCAAAAUAAAAUUCAACCAGGCCACAGCUGCCUGAUUCUGACCUCUUCAUACAACAUUGCCUGGAUGUCUGUCCACCGAAGAACAAUUUCCCAUUUCAGAUUUGUAGUAUAGGGCCACUUAUUUCUUUCCUCUGUGUUUUUUUGUUCUGUUUUGUUUUUAGCAAAAGAAAGCCAUCUGUACAAGGAUUAAAAACUGUUCAUUUAUUUUGUU